CGGGGACCUUUCGCGUGUUAGGCGAACGUGAUAACCACUACACUACGGAAACUGAUUUAAGUAGCGACAAAUACCCUUGAUAGCCAGGUUCGGUGUCCUUCAACAACUUUGAUGACGUUCAUCUGGGUCAUAUACGCUGGGAACAAAACAAGUCGAAACUGGGAGGGACAACCUGAAGAUUGCCCAAUAAGAAACACAUGCAAAUCAUUUUAAAAUGUUUUAUGCCCUGAACAUGACCAUGAUAUGCCUAAUGAUUUUUCUGAAAGACCCCGAGACACUCGCCACUACACUUGGCCAUAGCAUUGCCUACUUAACUCACUCAAUAGGUAAGAACAUAUUUAUACUAACAAGCGAUUAUACAAUGGGGCCGUGACUACGCGGAUCAUUUAGAGACAAUCCUCACAAUUGUUUAUAAGCAGUGCUCUUCUGACGAAGUGAUUGUGUUAUCAGGUGAGCUACACAGCUAGCUAGAUGAACUAGACUUUUUCUGGGCAAGAUGGCGAACCGUCAGUACAGCUCUGUUUGUUUAGUACCAAAAUGUAAAAAUAACGUUUUAAUUUGUUACAUUUUACAUAACUUUAACUUAUUCACCUGGGAAGUAUGAAAAAACAUUUUUACACCGCUUACUUUCUGAAAACAGUCAAAUCGCGAAUUGAUAUCCAUGGAAGGGCAAACGUCUGGUUUCAGUCAGGGAAUUGAACCCUAGUGUGACAGGCAUGUAUACAGACUGACCACGAUACUAAGGUUGAGGGGACUGGCAUUGCAUGGGUUAUUCGUAUUGUGUGUUGGUUGUGGAACUUUGGUGUCCUAGGAAUGUAUUUAUCUGUGUCUUUUCUAUAUGUCCAGGGCCGAAUGUAUGUACAGGCUUACCAGGGCUGAAACCCCUGGGCCCAGGCCUGUGGUGAGCCCCAAUACUAAGCAAAUGAGGACUCAGGAGCCCACUCUCAAUGAGUGUAGACAGCCUGCUGCUGUCUAAUGCAGCUCUGCUAAUCAUCAGAUUGGGUAGGAGAGGAGAUAGGGGGCCCACAUGGGUAACUGGGGGGGCUCUGCCUUGAUUAUUACAUGUUUGUAAAAUAAACUGCAUAAUAAAUAAAUGUGACGUCAAUUGUGUGAAUUAGGGGCUGGGCAAAACAUCCGUCUUGUGAACAAGGUCUUCACAUUUUUCAUAGAGAUAAGCAAUUCAUAGAGUAUCCUUGGAAGGUUUUAAAUGAAGUGUGAAGAAUGACAUCUUUGAGGGGGCUCAUUAUCUGCAUAUUGUGUGUGUUUGUCAAGGUGAUGGUGAGUGUUCUCUGGAGGAGGUGACUGAAGGAUGUGAGGAUUCUGCCAAACAUCGACUCCUCCUACCUGCCCAUGAUGCCAGACAGGAUAUGUGAUGCUUGUCGACAACGUGUGGUCAUGGACAGAGUGAGGAUGCAGUGUUGGGGGCUGUAGUGUGUCACUCCCCCUCUGUAACCUGGGCAUCUGUCAGAAAGGUUGAACUCUCUCCUUCAAUGUCACCUUCCAGAUAUUCAAGGCAGGAGGACGCUGAGAUAUGGUACACACAGGAUGGGGAAACACUGUGUGUGCGCGGGUGUAUUUGGGUGUGUCUGGUGAUACAUUUUUUGUAGUAAUAAUCAUUAUUAUUGUCAUCCUUGCUCUCUCUAUAGCUGAGUCAACAUAUGAAGCUGCAGUUUACAGCAGAGAAAACAGGAGAUAUAUAAGGUGAAUGGAGGGAGAGGAGUGUUGACAAUUGGAGAGGAGAAAAAGAGAGCGAAAGAUGCAGAUGGAGAGAAAUGAGUGUGAAGAUGAGGGCCUAAGAUCUAAAUUGAGGAUGAGGCAGAAGCCACAGUAUUAUCUAAAUGUAACUGAUUUGAUCUCUAACACUCAUGCUGCUACUGAUGUGUGAACUAUAGAAGUAGUUUAUUCUAUUUCUAUGGUCAGAACAACAAACCUGUUGGAGUGUGAAGAGAACCCAUGUGAAACCAUGUCGCAUCUGUGAGGUGAUUAUUCUACAAUGUAGAAAAUAGUACAAAUAAAGAAAACACUUGAAUGAGUAGGUGCUUCUAAACUUUUGAC